GUGUUUCUUUGAGCACCACAUAUACCCAAAAUGGAAUGAUACAGAGAAGAUUAGCAUGGCCCCUGCAUAAUGACGACACACAAAUUCAUGAAACAUUCCAUAUUUUU
rnacentral:snRNA from 1 species